ACCCACAUCUGUCUGCCUAAGAGGGAAAUGAGGACAAGAACACCAAAGGAGGAGUCAGUCCUGUUCAUCCCAGCUCUUUGUACCACAACUAUUCACUCCAAUCUUCCUGAAACACCCUGGGCUUAUACCUACUAUCCUGGUAGACAAGGAUGAUGGCAAGUGCACCUCUUACUAAAGUGUCUCUUUGGACAAUAAGUUACAUGGUCAUUCAUAGUCCUGUGGACUACAUGAGUUAAAGAUGUCACAGUCAAGGCUCUCCCCAACAGCAGAGCAUGGACCCACCUACCCACAAAGCUGGGGUAGGCACUGGCAGUGAGAGGAAAGGAUUAGGGUGGGGGAGUCAAUUCCUUCUCUGUUUUACUCCUUCAGGUUCUGUUCUAGCAAUGGGAUCUCAUCAUCUUCAACGUGGUUUUCUGUCCUGUCUUGGAGUUGGUAAAAUAAAGGUGCUGUCCUUACCACUUGGUGCCAAGCCAACCACAGACUUGACUUUCUGGUCCUCUGGCAUUCUAGAUGUGGAGAAACAGCCCCACCCAAGGCCUCAAGGCCACCAUCACACAGAUGGAUGGUGGCUGCUCUACAAGCAGGAGCCCCUUCUGCCUGAUCCUCAGCCCUGAAGAUCCGCCUAGAUGGUAAGGCCUGCUAUCCCCUAGUAGCUACCAUGCUGGGGUCACUAGGAACGCACUUGGGAUGUAUAGG
rnacentral:lncRNA from 1 species